GACGAACGCUGGCGGCGUGCUUAACACAUGCAAGUCGAACGCUGAAGCUCAGCUUGCUGGGUGGAUGAGUGGCGAACGGGUGAGUAACACGUGAGUAACCUGCCCUCUUCUUUGGGAUAACGCCCGGAAACGGGUGCUAAUACUGGAUAUUCACUGAUUCUCGCAUGGGGGUUGGUGGAGAGGUUUUUUCUGGUGGGGGAUGGGCUCGCGGCCUAUCAGCUUGUUGGUGGGGUGAUGGCCUACCAAGGCUUUGACGGGUAGCCGGCCUGAGAGGGUGACCGGUCACAUUGGGACUGAGAUACGGCCCAGACUCCUACGGGAGGCAGCAGUGGGGAAUAUUGCACAAUGGGCGAAAGCCUGAUGCAGCGACGCCGCGUGAGGGAUGGAGGCCUUCGGGUUGUAAACCUCUUUCGCUCAUGGUCAAGCCGCAGCUUUGGGUUGUGGUGAGGGUAGUGGGUAAAGAAGCGCCGGCUAACUACGUG
rnacentral:rRNA from 1 species